rnacentral:rRNA from 1 species
UGCUUUGCUGACGAGUGGCGGACGGGUGAGUAAUGUCUGGGAAACUGCCUGAUGGAGGGGGAUAACUACUGGAAACGGUGGCUAAUACCGCAUAACGUCGCAAGACCAAAGAGGGGGACCUUCGGGCCUCUUGCCAUCAGAUGUGCCCAGAUGGGAUUAGCUAGUUGGUGAGGUAACGGCUCACCAAGGCGACGAUCCCUAGCUGGUCUGAGAGGAUGACCAGCCACACUGGAACUGAGACACGGUCCAGACUCCUACGGGAGGCAGCAGUGGGGAAUAUUGCACAAUGGGCGCAAGCCUGAUGCAGCCAUGCCGCGUGUAUGAAGAAGGCCUUCGGGUUGUAAAGUACUUUCAGCGGGGAGGAAGGUGUUGUGGUUAAUAACCGCAGCAAUUGACGUUACCCGCAGAAGAAGCACCGGCUAACUCCGUGCCAGCAGCCGCGGUAAUACGGAGGGUGCAAGCGUUAAUCGGAAUUACUGGGCGUAAAGCGCACGCAGGCGGUCUGUCAAGUCGGAUGUGAAAUCCCCGGGCUCAACCUGGGAACUGCAUUCGAAACUGGCAGGCUUGAGUCUUGUAGAGGGGGGUAGAAUUCCAGGUGUAGCGGUGAAAUGCGUAGAGAUCUGGAGGAAUACCGGUGGCGAAGGCGGCCCCCUGGACAAAGACUGACGCUCAGGUGCGAAAGCGUGGGGAGCAAACAGGAUUAGAUACCCUGGUAGUCCACGCCGUAAACGAUGUCUACUUGGAGGUUGUGCCCUUGAGGCGUGGCUUCCGGAGCUAACGCGUUAAGUAGACCGCCUGGGGAGUACGGCCGCAAGGUUAAAACUCAAAUGAAUUGACGGGGGCCCGCACAAGCGGUGGAGCAUGUGGUUUAAUUCGAUGCAACGCGAAGAACCUUACCUGGUCUUGACAUCCACAGAAGAAUCCAGAGAUGGAUUUGUGCCUUCGGGAACUGUGAGACAGGUGCUGCAUGGCUGUCGUCAGCUCGUGUUGUGAAAUGUUGGGUUAAGUCCCGCAACGAGCGCAACCCUUAUCCUUUGUUGCCAGCGGUCCGGCCGGGAACUCAAAGGAGACUGCCAGUGAUAAACUGGAGGAAGGUGGGGAUGACGUCAAGUCAUCAUGGCCCUUACGACCAGGGCUACACACGUGCUACAAUGGCGCAUACAAAGAGAAGCGACCUCGCGAGAGCAAGCGGACCUCAUAAAGUGCGUCGUAGUCCGGAUUGGAGUCUGCAACUCGACUCCAUGAAGUCGGAAUCGCUAGUAAUCGUGGAUCAGAAUGCCACGGUGAAUACGUUCCCGGGCCUUGUACACACCGCCCGUCACACCAUGGGAGUGGGUUGCAAAAGAAGUAGGUAGCUUAACCUUCGGGAGGGCGCUUACCACUUUGUGAUUCAUGACUGGGGUGAAGUCGUAACAAGGUAACCGUAGGGGAACCUGCGGUUGGAUCACCUCCUUACCUUAAAGAA